rnacentral:rRNA from 1 species
UACGUAGGGGGCAAGCGUUGUCCGGAUUUAUUGGGCGUAAAGAGCGUGUAGGCGGCCAGGUAGGUCUGCUGUGAAAACUCGAGGCUUAACCUCGAGCUGUCGGCGGAAACCAUCUGGCUAGAGUCCGGAAGGGGAGAAUGGAAUUCCCGGUGUAGCGGUGAAAUGCGCAGAUAUCGGGAAGAACACCCGUGGCGAAGGCGGUUCUCUGGGACGGUACUGACGCUGAGACGCGAAAGCGUGGGGAGCGAACAGG